UCUCCGUAGGUGAACCUGCGGAGGGAUCAUUACAGAAUUAUCGAGCUGGGGGGGAUGUCGCUGACCCGAUGGUAUCGGUACGGUCGUGUGUCUUGCGAGACGACCAGCCCCCGGCUACGUGCGCCAAAUAGGGGGUGCGCGUCUGCCAGAGGCGUUGGGGGGCUGAAGGUUUGUGACGACUGAUGAAUGUAGAGUAGUAUAAAUUUUCAACAAUGGAGAUCUUGGUUCUGAUAUCGAUGUAAAAAGCGGCAGACUUGGAGAUCGCAAGGCUGAAGACCA
rnacentral:misc_RNA from 1 species